GCCUCACAGGAGUCGUAAACAUAGAUGUGGAAGUGGAACAGUUCUGCCUCUGAAGGAAAUAUGAUCCAUAAUUUACAUCACAUACAAAUUUUGAUAGGGAGAAGUAAUCUGUACAGGAGACCAUGGCCAUCUAAAAAGAAUGAUGCUAAAAUCAUUUAUCAGUCCCAACCCAUUAGCAUAUUCCAAACUGCUUCCUCUAUUUUGCUUCUUGGGAUGCGCAAACUUUCCCCUUCAUCAAGCAAGACUCUGUACACUUCAAAUUCACGAUCUCCAAUCAUGCGCCUCCUAAUCUCAGCCGAAAAAAUGCAAGUCUUAAGCAUCUUGAGAGCAAGUGUGAUAUCAUGAAACACAAGAGGUCUGCCCUUGCCAGAUAACUCAACAGGAUUUGCCACUAGUAGCUCUGUGUCAGGACCGCGGCUAACAACAGCUACUCUGAGAGGGCGUAGUAAUUCCAUCUCCAGACGAGAAGACAAUGCUUUCUGUUUGUUAGGGUCAACGACUUUCUUCCCAUCAGCUUGAACAAACAAGUCAAUCUCACAGUUCCUACUUUCUUUUAUAGUGAAGCGUCCAUAAGAAAUCUGUAUAUUGUAAUCCUUCAAAGUUCUCAUUAUGUCAUAAAGAAGACCUUUGUGAUCUUGGCAUGCAAUUUGAACAAGUGUAUGAGCAGGACUCAGUAAAUUGUCCAUUGUCACAGAAACACUGGCGGAAGUUAGUGAACUUGGGAGUUCAUCAGGAAUUUCUAAGUGAAGCAUGUCGUCUGUGAUUGUAGUUGGAAGAAAUGAAGAUUCCUGCGAACAUGCAGUAAUUUCAGGGCCAACCAUUUCUAUGUCACAGCUUAUCAUGGCAUCUCCCAUAACAGCUUUUAAGUGAUCAUAUGUAUCCUCCUUUC
rnacentral:misc_RNA from 1 species